rnacentral:rRNA from 1 species
GAUGAACGCUAGCGGCAGGCUUAAUACAUGCAAGUCGAGGGGUAUAAAGUAGCUUGCUAUUUUAGAGACCGGCAAACGGGUGCGGAACACGUACACAAUCUAACCUUAUCUGGGGGAUAGCCCAUAGAAAUGUGGAUUAAUACCCCAUAGUAUUACGGAGUGGCAUCAUUUUGUAAUUAAAGAAUUUCGGAUAAGGAUGAGUGUGCGUCUGAUUAGGUAGUUGGCGGGUAACGGCCCACCAAGCCGACGAUCAGUAGCUGAUGUGAGAGCAUGAUCAGCCACACGGGCACUGAGACACGGGCCCGACUCCUACGGGAGGCAGCAGUAAGGAAUAUUGGUCAAUGGACGGAAGUCUGAACCAGCCAUGCCGCGUGAAGGACGAAGGCGUUCUGCGUUGUAAACUUCUUUUAUCUAGAGAAGAAACCACCGAUUCUAUUGGUGUUGACGGUAUCUGAUGAAUAAGCAACCGGCUAACUCCGUGCCAGCAGCCGCGGUAAU